rnacentral:rRNA from 1 species
GAGACAGCAGUAGCCGCGGGAAUACGGAGGAUCCAAGCGUUAUCCGGAAUCAUUGGGUUUAAAGGGUCCGUAGGCGGUCUUGUAAGUCAGUGGUGAAAGCCCAUCGCUCAACGGUGGAACGGCCAUUGAUACUGCAGGACUUGAAUUAUUGGGAAGUAACUAGAAUAUGUAGUGUAGCGGUGAAAUGCUUAGAGAUUACAUGGAAUACCAAUUGCGAAGGCAGGUUACUACCAAUUGAUUGACGCUGAUGGACGAAAGCGUGGGUAGCGAACAGGAUUAGAUACCCCCGUAGUCCCUGUCUCUUAUAC